UACGUAGGGCGCAAGCGUUGUCCGGAAUUAUUGGGCGUAAAGAGCUCGUAGGCGGUCUGUUACGUCCGCUGUGAAAACCCAGGGCUUAACCCUGGGCUUGCAGUUGAUACGGGUAGACUAGAGGCAGGUAGGGGAGAAUGGAAUUCCCGGUGUAGCAGUGAAAUGCGUAGAGAUCGUAAGGAAGACCAGUGGCGAAGGCGGGUCUCUGGACAGUUCCUGACACUGAGGCACGAAGGCCAGGGGAGCAAACGGG
rnacentral:rRNA from 1 species